AUUGAUUAGUUUACCAGUGCUGAACAUGCCUGAUCUCAUCUGCUCUCAGAAGCUAAGCAGGAUCAGGCAUGGUUAGUACUUGAAUGGGAGGAAAAAAAGAUGAAUUAAAA
rnacentral:rRNA from 1 species